CUGUGGAUAUAAAAAUAUGUCAAACCCAAUCACUUAUCUUUAUGUAUCUCGAUCUGAAGAUGAUAAUUUAGUUGAUGAUAUAUUAGAAACUCUUUUCUAAUUAUCACCCUGCUUUAGCCAAAGACUUCCAGAAUCACUGUCCUAUGAGAUCACAUAGGAUGUUCACUCUCCUUAUUAGGAGUAAUUGAUCCCUUAUUGAUCUCUCACAAUCUCCAUACAUACUUCACCAUAUCUAGAACACCCCAUACAAGGAUCAAAGAAUCAAGUUAGGUAGUGAACCAAAACAUGGAUCCAUGUACACAAGGUACUAUGGUGACGUCAGGUCAAAAGAUCACUUACACAACUCCCACUAGAGAAUUAUCAAUUGACAUAUAAAUAAGACUCCAUCUGAUUAUUCUCUCGCAGGUCAAUUCAGUGAACUCAUUCUCUAAUGAGCACCCAUAUCCUUGUAUUAGUAUCACCAUACAAGUGCUUAUGAGAUCAACCACC
rnacentral:lncRNA from 1 species